rnacentral:tRNA from 1 species
AGGGGUAUAGCUCAGUUGGUAGAGUAGCGGUCUCCAAAACCGUUGGUUGUAGGUUCGAGACCUACUACCCCUGCCA